CAGCUGCAUUUGAAGUGUACAUUUAACUUUCAUAGCAGUCAAUACUAACUGAAAUCUAGUACAAAUGUGUGCAAAUGAUCUUUUUAGAUCUUCUCAGAAAUGAAUAAAGUCCAUAGAAUGGAUAAAGACAAAACGAGAAUUCAAGGACUAGAGGAGGUAGAGAGGUGAGGCGGGGGUGAGGACAUCAUCCUGCUAUUUUGACAGUCCCUGAAGGACAAUACAGAAGAGGACUGGAGACCACAGCAGCGAUUCUACUCUUGCCCUACCUCUUCAAAGAGAACCCAAGAUUCCACCGCUCUUCACUCCUUUCCUGCACAUCGGUGGAAAUCCAUUUCACCAUGAGAGUGAAAUCCCGCUGGCCUUUGAUGGGGAGAACAUCAAUGUCCUCGAGGACGUCCCCAUGGGAUUUGGGGCUCUGCUAGGGCUGUAUUUGUUAUUUUCCCUUAAAUUUACCAAAAAUGUCAGAAAAACACUUAUGUUCUUAAGUUACUGUGUUCUGGGGAGAAGAGAAGUUGGGGUGAAGUUACCAGGGCCGGUCAUAAAGAUGGAAAACUUCCUAACAUAACUAAGUGGAUACGAUAUCCACACUAAAGCUGAAAAAUCUGUAUUUAGCAUAAAGUCUACAAUAUUGUUAGUUUACCUAUGAUUCAGUUUUAUAUAUGUUGUUUUUAUUGUACAUCAUCAUUUCUAUUUGUUUUAAAUGUCAUGAAAAGCACUAUAGAAAGUAAAUGUAUUAUUUAUUAUGGUCUGAC